GGGAAAAAUAGCUGAAAAUUCUAGAAAAAUGAGGGAAAGUUCUGGAAAUUAGUUUGGGACUUGAAGAGCUUGUCGAAAGCUCAAAAAGAUGGAAUUUUGGGCGCGAGCGGCAGCUCGGGAGGCAACGUCGGCGUGGUCGUUUCUGAAAUUCGUUUCCGAAUUGUCCGAGGUUUGACCGGGGAGGCGGUGAUCCUAGAGGAACUAGAGGUUCGGGCUGGAAUUCGAGCCGAGGCAGAGAUGAGGCUUCGAGCCAGAUGAUGCAAGUCCGGAUGCAAGCAGGGAUGGCGCCGGGAGGCUGUUGUGGCAACUAGCUGUGUUGCCUGAGUUAUGUUUUUUUU